rnacentral:rRNA from 1 species
GACGAACCGUGCGACCGUUGUUCGGAAUCACUGGGCUUAAAGGGCGCGUAGGCGGGUGGAUAAGUCAGGGGUGAAAGCCCACGGCUCAACCGUGGAAGUGCCUUUGAUACUGUUCAUCUCGAGGGAGGUAGGGGCGUGCGGAACUUCCGGUGGAGCGGUGAAAUGCGUAGAUAUCGGAAGGAACACCGGUGGCGAAAGCGGCGCGCUGGACCUCUUCUGACGCUGAGGCGCGAAAGCCAGGGGAGCAAACGGG